UUAUUAUCCCUAACUUUUGCCCGAACCUUUUCUCUUUUUUCUUGGUUCGCCGGGAUGCCCUUUUUUUGCCUGGACUCUUUUAUUCUUUUUGUCCAGCGGGUCUCUCUCUUUUUUUCACGAAGUAUCUUUUAACUGCGUCCGCAUUCAUAGGGGAUGGAAAAUCCUCGUCAUCCAUGGUCGUCAGCAACAAGGCUCUGUCAGAGGAGACCUUUUUUGACCAUGAAUGGAUAUUCAUAACUGUAUUCACUUGCCCCACGAUCGUCUUGAGGAGGAAGGAUCCU
rnacentral:lncRNA from 1 species